rnacentral:lncRNA from 10 species
CUCAGACGCCCCAGCUCCGCCGAGAGGCCGCUCGCGACAGGUCCUUCCUCUUCCCCAAGUGCAGGCAGAGCCCCCGGAGCCACUGCCAGCCCUUCCCGCAGCUCCGAAACCACUGGCAAGCCCCGAGGCAGGGAUGGCCCUCCCAGGAGGGAGGAGGACGACGUCCCUCCCGAGGAGAAGAGGCUGCGGCUGUUGCUGGAGGGGGGAAGCGCACAGCCCGGCGACUGCGAGGACGGGGAGGACGCGCCGCGGCCGGGCAGGGAGGAGACCGGCACCCAGACAGGUGGCGACGGCAGAGGAGCACAGAGAAGUUGCCCAUGACUCUGUGAUCCGUUUUGUCCAAUGAACCAUGAGCAGCAGCAACUUGAAUCGCCUCCAGGUGGAAGUGUUAAGAGGCUCUAUGAUCCACCACAUUCCCUUUCCCCUGAAGUGGUGAUCAAGGACACAUG